UCCACUGGCAAUAUGUGGUCCAUAUGGUAAGUGAAUAUGUCCUAUAAACCACAAUGAAAAAGCAUAGAGAGUCAUGAUCCAUUGAUUCAAUUUUUCCCCUUCAUUUAUACAGUGGGCAGGGAUUAGGAAACUGAUUCGCUGGUUUUGGAUAAAGCAUCGAUAUUAAUUAAUUACUGUCACCUCUCAAUCCUCAGAUCCUCAUUAGUUGGUUGUUUUUUCAUGGAAUAGAGAAAUUAAGCAUGAAUGCAUUAUGAAGUUGCGUGCGUGAGCAAUUUUUUAUUAAAAACCUAGCCAACUAGUUUGCUUUGUUGGCUUAUGACUGACUUAUCCCAACAAUUCUUGGCAUCGUUGGCAAUAACUACAUCUAAUGCUGAAUUUAUGAUAGGACGUUUGUAAAAAUUAUGGUCGGAAGGUAGAUUAGUGGUAAAAAAUAUGUAUAUUUUGUAUAAUUAGAAUCUUCAGAUAUGAAAGAUUUUAGUUUUUUUUAUAGUAAUUAGUCAUAUAAAAUCUAUCAUUAUAAAACUGGAAACUCAAUGUCGAAAUUCAUAUGCAUCUAUACUAUAUAAUAUAUAGCAAUAUUGUAGUUUCACGCAACACUUUGUCAAAUUUUCAAUUAAAAAACAAUUGUGGCAUCUAUAUGUUCCUAGAUCCGCGCGACUUCCUUGCUCCCUCCUGCGUCUCUCCUCGCCCCCUUAAAGAAUUUACCGAUUCUCAUUUUGUUCCUUGCAAUUAUUGCAUCGCAAAUCCACAUAUUGAGCUAUCUAUGGUUGUGGUUCGGGUACUACCAAACACCCGAGCAAAUUCAUUUUCCCCAUUUGCAACUCGCCCCGCCGUAUGUGAGGUGAAAAUCCACUCUCCUAUAAUAUUUUCAAAAUUAAAAUCCACGCAUAGGCAUUUUGAUUAUGUAUUAUCACCAUCUUUCUUAAUGAUGCAUAUACUCUUGUUUCAUACGAAAUGAAAACAUAAUUCUUAGCCAUGCCUCAUGUUCAUGAGUAGAAGCGAAAAUUAUUUAGACACCAUCAUGUUCAACAUCCAUGUUGCGAGUUGUAUGCCCGGGCAAGAGAGAACAUGAAACAGAGCUUUGUUUCCACUAAUAUUUCACUUUAAGAGUCUCUUUUGAAUCUAUCAAUUCAGUUUUCAACUCCUCUAAUUGAUUGAUUCUUUCAUUUUCUUUUCUUUGCAGUUACUGGUUCCUUGUCCAAAACUAUAAAGAGAAGAGACAGGAGUCAAGUUCAUCAUGACCAAUGAUUGAGCAACAGAAAGCAGGGCCUCCCUUACCAAAUUACAAAUAAAGAAGAAGAAAAAAAAAUCAAGAAGCAAAAAUAACAUUGCCAAGUUUAAAAUUAUACUUUAAGGGGUUGUUUGUCUACCGGAUUUGGAGAGGAUAACUUUUCCCCCCUGAUAAUUUUUCUCCCCCAGCGUUUGGCAGGCGGAUAAUUUAUGCCCCCGGCUCAUGGAUCUUAACUAUUGCUUAUUGAGAAUGGUUCGCAUUUUUCAUUUAUAAAUGUAACUGCGGCAUAGGGUGAAACAUAUUUUCAAAUAGUUAGAUUAUGAUUCUCCUUUGCCCACUUCAAUCUACAUGAAACUACUUCUUCUGUCCCAUUUUAAUUUUAUUUGCAUUUCUUCUCAUUUUGGAUUGCUUCAAAAUGCAUGUCCGUUGUUAAAAGUUAAAGUAUAAACUCGUUAAUUUUCUUAAUUUAUCCUACACAAAUUGUCAAAAAUACUUUUGAAAGUGAAAACAUUGGAAGAAUUUUCAAAAUGACUAGUUUUGGUUUAAUUUUAAGUGCAAGGGACAAAAAAUAUGGGACUGAAGAGUCAUUUUAAGUGGAAUCUUUUCCAUUCUUAGCUUGGAGAUGAAAGCCCACCAAUGCAAUCUUGUUAGUGGACAUUUCCAUGUGGAGAUGGGUACAAAUCCAAUUCCAUGAGUACAUUUUGUAAGUUGUUGGUGUGUAUGGCCCCAAAGUCCAUAAAAUUGUCAGGGGAAUCUUUCUUCUUUUUUAAUGGGUCCAUGGCAGGGGCCUAAAAGUGAAGAAUCUUCUUUUUUUUUUACUGGGCUCAUAAUUAUUGAAUUUUAUUAUAAAAAUACAUAAAACCACCUUUGAUGCAUGUUAUUUUACCUCCUUCGUAGGAUUUUAUUAAGGAAAACAAAACAAACCAACAUGAAAUGAUUUGAAUACCAGAAUAUAUUGAAGAUUAGUACUUUUUCGUACCCACCGGCACUCUACCGAAAACAACAUUACAACCUUACACGUACUUGUUAGACUUUUACAAUCUAAUAAAAAAUAAAUAAGAUAUAAGCGUCAGAUAAAAAAUACAUUAUUACAAAAUAUAUAACAAAUUAGAAAGUAUAAUGAUUUUAAAAAAUCGUUGCUAAUUUGUGAGAAAUGAGAAAAAAGAAAGAGAUGUUUUAGUUUUUUCUUGUGGGUUCCACUAAAAAAUUGAUCAAAUGAGUAAAAAAUAUAUUCAGUUUUAGAGAUUUUUUGACAAUUGGAUAAACAUA
rnacentral:lncRNA from 1 species